GUCAGGAUGGCCGAGCGGUCUAAGGCGCUACGUUAUGGUCGCAGUAUUCUCUGGAGGCGUGGGUUCAAAUCCCACUUCUGACA